rnacentral:rRNA from 1 species
AUCCUGGCUUAGGAUGAACGCUGGCGGCGUGCCUAAUACAUGCAAGUCGAACGGUCUUUCUAUGGAAGCUUGCUUCCACUGAGAAGAUAGUGGCGAACGGGUGAGUAACACGUGGGUAACCUGCCCAUAAGAGGGGGAUAACAUCCGGAAACGGGUGCUAAUACCGCAUAGUUUUCUUGAUCGCAUGAUCGGGAAAGGAAAGACGGCCUUUGUGCUGUCGCUUAUGGAUGGACCCGCGGCGUAUUAGUUAGUUGGUGAGGUAACGGCUCACCAAGACGAUGAUACGUAGCCGACCUGAGAGGGUGAUCGGCCACAUUGGGACUGAGACACGGCCCAAACUCCUACGGGAGGCAGCAGUAGGGAAUCUUCCGCAAUGGACGAAAGUCUGACGGAGCAACGCCGCGUGAGUGAAAGAAGGUUUUCGGAUCGUAAAACUCUGUUGUCAGAGAAGAACAAGUUGGAGAGUAACUGCUCCAGCCUUGACGGUAUCUGACCAGAAAGCCACGGCUAACUACGUGCCAGCCGCCGC